CACCGCGGUUAUACGAGAGACCCAAGUUGUUAGAUGUCGGCGUAAAGAGUGGUUAAGAUUCUUAUCCUAAACUAAAGCCGAACACCUUCAGAGCUGUUAUACGCAUCCGAAGGCAAGAAGCCCAACCACGAAAGUGGCUUUAUUACAUCUGACCCCACGAAAGCUACGGUACAAACUGGGAUUAGAUACCCCACUAUGCCUAGCCCUAAACAUUGAUAGUAAAAUACCCCUACUAUCCGCCUGGGAACUACGAGCAUUAGCUUGAAACCCAAAGGACUUGGCGGUGCUUUAGACCCACCUAGAGGAGCCUGUUCUAGAACCGAUUAUCCCCGUUCAACCUCACCUUUCCUUGUUUCCCCCGCCUAUAUACCACCGUCGUCAGCUUACCCUGUGAAGGGCCUAUAGUAAGCAAGAUUGGCACAGCCCAAAACGUCAGGUCGAGGUGUAGCGUAUGGAAAGGGAAGAAAUGGGCUACAUUCCCUAGCAUUAAGGAACUACGAAUGAUUACACUGAAACACGUAUCUGAAGGAGGAUUUAGCAGUAAGCAGGAAAUAGAGCGUUCUGCUGAAACCGGCCCUGAAGCGCGCACACACCGCCCGUCACUCUCCCCAAGCUUCCACCACCCAAUAACUUAAAACUUUUCAACUGCAAAGGGGAGGCAAGUCGUAA
rnacentral:rRNA from 1 species